GUAGCCGGCCCUGUCCGUCUUCCGUUAAAUCUAACGGCCCAACCGUUAGGCUGCGGAAGAUACCACAGGGCUAGGGGGCGGGAGAGGUGGACGGUACUCCAAGGGUAGGGGUAAAAUCCUCUGAUCCUUGGAAGACCACCGGUGGCGAAGGCGGUCCACCAGAACGCGCCCGACGGUGAGGGAUGAAAGCUGGGGGAGCGAACCGGAUUAGAUACCCGGGUAGUCCCAGCCGUAAACGAUGCGAGCUAGGUGACAGAAUGGCCUAAGAGCCAUUCUGCUGCCGCAGGGAAGCCGUUAAGCUCGCCGCCUGGGGAGUACGGACGCAAGUCUGAAACUUAAAGGAAUUGGCGGGGGAGCACCACAAGGGGUGAAGCCUGCGGUUCAAUUGGAGUCAACGCCGGGAACCUCACCAGGGGAGACAGCAGGAUGAAGGUCAAGCUAAAGACUUUACCCGACGAGCUGAGAGGAGGUGCAUGGCCGUCGCCAGCUCGUGCCGUGAGGUGUCCUGUUAAGUCAGGCAACGAGCGAGACCCUCGCCGCUAGUUGCUGUCCUCUCCCGCAAGGGAGAGGAAGGUAGUUAGCGGGACUGCCGCCGUUCAAGGCGGAGGAAGGAGAGGGCUACGGCAGGUCAGUAUGCCCCGAAACCCCUGGGCCACACGCGGGCUGCAAUGGUAGGGACAGAGGGUGUCCAACUCCGAAAGGAGGAGGUAAACCCUAAACCCUACCCCAGUUGUGAUUGAGGGUUGCAACCCACCCUCAUGAAU
rnacentral:rRNA from 1 species